CCGGCCAUACCAUGCUGAAUAUAUUGGUUCUCGUAACAUCACCGAAGUCAAGCAUCAUUGGGCGCGGUCAGUACUUGGGUGAGUGACCACCGAGGAACACCGCGUGCCGU
rnacentral:rRNA from 1 species